UCCCCUCCCCUCCCCUCGGCGGCCCGACCCUCCUCCGCGGCCGGGGGACCGGGCCGGGCGCUGCCGGGAGGGGCGCGGCCGCCGCUCCUUGUGCCGCUGCGGAUGUUUGAGAGCUUCGGAGCGGCGGGACGGGCGGCACAGCGCAACCCCAGCUGGGCUUUUGAGGGGUUUUGGUGUUUCAGGAUGUGGGGAAGGAGCAGAGAUGCCUCUCAGCUCCCCCUCCCCUGUCCAGCUAGGCCUUGGAUGAUGCUGCAGACUGCAGCCUCUGCAGCUCCAGGACACGGAUGAGGAGGAGGAAGGCGAUGCUCAGGAGAAGCAGCCAGAAGAAAACCCAGUAGUGCUGUGGGAAGAAGAGCCACGGACGCCACAGCUCCGCUGCUGACCCCUUGGACCUGGGGAGAAGGUGACCAGGGACACUUGUCAUCCAUGGGAGAGAGCAAAUCCCACCUCCACCCGAUCUGGGGAUAAGGAGGAUGUUAAACUCAGCCCCAAACCUCACUGGCUCUUUUGCAAACUCAAGUGAGGAGGGCAUGGGCAGUCCACAAUGCCUGGGCAAAACUGAGCUGAGGCAGCCAAGCAACAUCCCAGCCUUCCAUCACUACAUCCCCCAGCCCCCUGCCCAAGUGCUGGCCACCUGGGGACCACAGAGAGGCCAGCAGCCAUGGGGGGAUGCUGGGCACACGCAGGGUGCUGCUCACGUCAGCCCGAGCUGCUCCGGCUCCUCGUUCCCUGUGCUUGAGCCUCUGCCAUCUGCCUCUGCCACCAGCUUCCCAGUCACAGCGCUGUCCUGUGGCUCCAGUUCACUCCUGGGGAGGGAGAGGCUGGGGUCAGUGCUGUCCCACAUGGGCCAGUGGCCACUUCUGCCAUGGCUGCCCAUACCUGUGGCUGCUGGGCCAGCGCUGGGCCCCCUCUGGCUCCGGGUCACCUGCUGGGGCUGCUCGGCUCUCAGGGCUGGCACCUGGCUGGGCACCGAAGGUGGGAGCAUCAGUGGGGACAGGGAGCCCCAGUGGCACCGAGCCUGGGGACACAGCUGCUGGCUGUCCCCAUUGAACACAUCCUUACCAGGAGCUGCUUGGGGAUGACGGCGAUGCUGACUCUGCGGCGGGCUGACCCCUGCAAUGGAGGGGCUGGGGGUGAGCACUGUGCGGCUGCUGCUCGCCUCCUCCUCCCCCAGCACCGCCCCAGCACGGGCAAGGGACACCACAGGACACUGCCAAAUCCCACUGGAGCUAAGGGGGGAAGCUGGAAAGCCAGGGAAGGUCAAAGCCCAGAGGUCUGUGCCUGUCAUUAUUGCUGCAAGCUGUCCUGGUGGGACUGCCUAACCCCCUCCCCUACCUCUUGAACUACAGGGGAUCAGUGUCUCAUUCAAGCCAGUGCUAAAGAACAGCCAAGCCUGUGGCUCUUGCACUGUGACCCUGCAAUGGAAGAAGGAUCUGCCUAAGAUCUCUUGCACAGGCAGCCCCCAGCUUGCUGGGCACCCUGUCUAUCUACCAACAGCCCUCUGAGGCUGCCCCUACAUCAUGCCUGGCACUUCCAGUAGAUCUUCCCUGCAGCAAGCAGCUGUAGUGGCAUUGAUUGGGGACAAGUGGGUGUGUGGGGACAGCCAGUUGAGAGAGGGUGGCAGGGUAUGGGGAGGCAGUGGCUCUGAGACUCGUGAACUGGGACUAGUUACCUGCUGGAAAGUUCUCUUCAAGGGGUGAGGUCUCAGCCGUGGCUCCACAUCAUCUGGGAGCAAAGAGAACACGCCUUACAUUGUCCCCCAACACUAAGUUGGGGCUGAUGCACAGAUGGUCACAAAGCUCCCUGCCACUGAAAGCUGUCCUGGCCCUGUUCUCUGUGCAUGGCACAGGUGGUGGCCUGGGCAGGGUGACCUGGUUCUGUGCACAGCAAUGGCACGUGUGGGGCUUGGUGUUCAGGAACAGAGUCCUUUUUGUGCAUGGGGCCCCAUUGCCCUGCUUUCCCAGCUGGGUUACAGCUCUCUGGUCACCAGCACCUGCUCCCACACUCAUCUGCUGUUCCACUGUCCCCUCACAACUGUCAUCAGCUGUUCCUUCACCACCCCAUCGGCUGUUCCCUGCUCCUCAACUCACACCACCCCCUGGCUCUGUGGUCACCACACUGACCCCCCAGAGGGGCUCAGGACCAAAUCCUGCAGGUUCCUCGGUGCAACCCCUGCCCAGCCCCGGAGGCAGAGCCCACCUCACCCUGGGUCUCCGCCAGCUGCCGGUUGCGGGAGUUCUGCUGGAUCAGGCGCUUCAUCUCCUCCAGCUCCGCGUGCUCCCGCAGGUGGUGCCGCUUCAAGUUCUCCACGUGCUGCACCAUCACCUCUGCUGCUCGGCUCAUCCGGGCCUCCUGCAGCCAGGUGGGACGGGGGAUCAGGGCCCCAUCUCCUAAGGAGCCAGGUCUCUGCCAGUCCCUCCCUGUGCAUCCCUUUCCUGCACCCAAGGGCAGGCAGAUGGAUCCCUUGCACCCUGGUAAGCCAAACAUGAGGUCAAGGCCAGUUGGGUUGAUGUGGCCAGAAAUGUGUAUUCUAUCACCAUCUGUUGAAGCUGGGUGGGGCAGUGACCUUUAUCUCUGUGGCACAUAUUAUCUGCUAAUGAGCCAUCUUUAAAACCAGGUGGGGCAAUCAUCUUUAUCCUUUCCACAACCCAUCCUCCCUCCAGGAAGAUAUCAUCUGCUGCUGAGCCAUUGAGUCCCACUGCAUAACUUAUAAAAUUACAUCAUCCCAUUGGGAGAUGCUCCAGUCAGAGGGACGAGUCAAGUCUCUCCUACCUAGAUAAAAAACUAAAAUUUUAGAUAGCAAGAUACCCUCUUUCCACUAAAUUCCAAAGAAUAACCAGACCUUUCUACAUCAUCCCUGAACCUUCAAAAAAAACCUGCACCCUUCUACAAAACCACUGCUCCAACUGAACCACAUCUGCCACUGCAGGAGGAUGCAGCCACCAUUUAAUGGGACUGUGCCAACACCCUGACUGACUGACGGGUGUCAGCUUGGAUUCUGACUCUGGCAGGGUUGGGUUUGUUCUUUGUAAUACUGUAUUUCUAUUUUAAUUUUCCUAGUAAAGAACUGUUAUUCCUAAUUCCCAUA